CAAGCCCGAGUAAACGGCGGCCGUAACUAUGACGGUCCUAAGGUAGCGAAAUUCCUUGUCGGGUAAGUUCCGACCUGCAUGAAAGGCAUAACGAGUUGGGCACUGUCUCAACCAGAGACUCGGUGAAAUUGCAAUAUGGGCGAAGAUACCCAUUACCCGCAGCAGGACGAAAAGACCCCGUGAACCUUUACUGCAACUUGAUACUGUGUUUCUGUGAUGCAUGCGUAGGAUAGGUGGGACGCUUUGAACUUCUGGUUCCGGCUAGAAGGGAGCGGUCGGUGAAAUACCACUCUUGCAUUAUGGGAAUUCUAACCUGGCCUUUGUACGGCUGGGGACACUGUCAGGCGGGCAGUUUGGCUGGGGCGGCUUCCUCCCAAAGAGUAACGGAGGAGCACAAAGGUCAGCUCAGUACGGUUGGCAAUCGUACGUGGAGUGCAAGAGCACAAGCUGGCUUAACUGCGAGACCCAUAAGUCGAGCAGAUGCGAAAGCAGGUUCUAGUGAUCCGGUGGUUCCAGAUGGACGGGCCAUCGCUCAACAGAUAAAAGGUACUCCGGGGAUAACAGGCUGAUUUCGCCCAAGAGUCCCUAUCGACGGCGAAGUUUGGCACCUCGAUGUCGGCUCAUCUCAUCCUGGGGCUGGAGAAGGUCCCAAGGGUAUGGCUGUUCGCCAUUUAAAGAGGUACGCGAGCUGGGUUUAAACCGUCGUGAGACAGGUUGGUCUCUAUCCGCUGUGGGCGCUGGACGAUUGAGGAGACUUAACAUUAGUACGAGAGGAUUAUGUUGAACGCCGCUCUGGUGUAUCGGUUGUCGCACUCGCGGCAGUGCCGAGUAGCUACCGGCGGACGGGAUAAACGCUGAAAGCAUCUAAGCGUGAAGCCCACUCCAAGAUGAAUCGUCCCAAUAGUGCCGUCGAAGACUACGACGUUGAUAGGCGGGGGGUGUACGCGCGAAUAUCUAAAGGCGCUCAGCUGACCCGUACUAAUCGCACAACUGGCUUGAUCGU
rnacentral:rRNA from 1 species